rnacentral:lncRNA from 1 species
AGAGAUAGGUUUACGAAACUUAACUUUCGCGCAAGUUCCGUGAACUUUUGCCAGUAGUGUUGACAGGGCUUUCCCAAAAAAUGUGUACAACACCAGUAAAACGCUCUUAUGUACCCCUCCCCGCUGGCACGUUCAUUUGAUGGUUUUCAUUGAUGUUUCAAAAAGAAUGAGAAGGGGGCGGCAAAAUACUAGCGGCCCAUGGGCGGCAAGUAGGUGAAUCCGGCCCUGGCAUCAAUGAAACACUAGCACGUUUGAUUUCAUCCACCUCCUUCAUAUAGAUUAGCUGUGUUCUAAAACACCCAAAUUACCUUUCAAAAACAUGCAAUUCUUGAUAGAGACAUCGAUUUGAAAGUUGAAUUACAAAUCAUUAUUAUUUAUUUCACCGGCAAUAAUAGUUUUCUUCGAUUUUUUCUUGGGUUCAGAAGUUCUCACAGAAGCUCUAUGGAUGAGCGUGGAUCCGUACAUGAGGCCAUAUUCAGCACAACUACCUUUAAACUCAGUAAUGAUUGGGUCUCAAGUUGCUAAGUAAGUAUUAUUUGGACUUUGAUUAGUUAUACAGGGUGAUCCAAAAGUCCCUUCCACCCCCUCUAACUUUUUACCUAAUUGAGGUAAAGAUUUGAAACUUGGGGGAUGUUCCUAGGUCAAAGGGAGCUACUUUUUGGCCCCCCCUAAAAUUUUCAGGGGGUCCCCUUGGAGGGGCAACGGACCCCAACUUUUAAUUUUCAAAUGAUAAGACCCCCUUUGUGAUAACUCGUUCGAAAGAGCAUAAAAAAGAAAACUUUUCGCGCAAACCCGUAGUCAAUAUCUCAAACCGUUUCAAAAUGGCGGUCGGUUAAAGUUCAAAAUGGCCGAAAAUGCACACCGGUUAUUUGUCGAUGGAUUUGCGCGAAAAUCGGUAUGUAGGGGUAUUUUGACACGAGAAAAACGAAUUUGACGUUAGAUUUUCCAAAAACCGAAAUUUCCAAAAUGGCCGCCGGUUAAAGUUUAAAAUGGCCGAAAAUUGUCACCUCGGUUUUUUGCUGAUUGAUUUGCCUAAACUUGGAAUUUGAGAGAUUUUGGCAUAAGAUUAACAUAUUUGAACUUAGAUUUCUAAAAA